GCCUGCCCUCCAGGAGCUCCCAAUCUAGUGGGAAAGUCAGAAAAGUAACUCAAUAGACUGUGAGCUCCUUGAGGGCAAGGA
rnacentral:pre_miRNA from 1 species